rnacentral:rRNA from 1 species
CUGCGAAUGGCUCAUUAUAUCAGUUAUAGUUUAUUAGAAAUAAUUUACUACUUGGAUAACCGUAGUAAUUCUAGGGCUAAUACAUGAGUAAAUCCUCGACUUUGAAGAGGUGUGUUUAUUAGUAUGAAAACCAUAUGCUUUUGCAUAAUAGUGAGUAAUAAUAACCUUUCAUAUCGUAUGUUGUAAUAACGAUAGUUCUUUCAAGUUUCUGCCCUAUCAGCUUUCGAUGGUAGUGCAUUGGACUACCAUGGCAGUAACGGGUAACGAAGAAUUUGGGUUCGAUUUCGGAGAGGGAGCCUGAGAGAUGGCUACCACAUCCAAGGAAGGCAGCAGGCGCGUAAAUUACCCAAUCCUGACAUAGGGAGGUAGUGACAAUAAAUCACAAUGCGGGACUUUUAGUUUUGCAAUUGGAUUGAGAACAAUGUAAAAGAGUUAUCGAUAAACAAUUGGAGGGCAAGUCUGGUGCCAGCAGCCGCGGUAAUUCCAGCUCCAAUAGCGUAUAUUAACGUUGUUGCAGUUAAAAAGCUC